UACAGAGGUCUCAAGCGUUGUUCGGAUUCAUUGGGCGUAAAGGGUGCGUAGGUGGCGGGGUCAGUCAGGUGUGAAAUCUCGGGGCUCAACCUCGAAACUGCACUUGAUACUGCCUUGCUGGAGUACUGGAGAGGAGAUUGGAAUUUACGGUGUAGCAGUGAAAUGCGUAGAUAUCGUAAGGAAGACCAGUGGCGAAGGCGAAUCUCUGGACAGUUUCUGACACUGAUGCACGAAGGUCAGGGGAGCAAACGGG
rnacentral:rRNA from 1 species